rnacentral:rRNA from 1 species
UACGGGGGGGAGCAAGCGUUGUUCGGAUUUACUGGGCGUAAAGGGCGCGUAGGCGGCCAGCACAAGUCAGUUGUGAAAUCUCCGAGCUUAACUCGGAAAGGUCAACUGAUACUGUGCGGCUAGAGUGCGGAAGGGGCAACUGGAAUUCUUGGUGUAGCGGUGAAAUGCGUAGAUAUCAAGAGGAACACCUGCGGCGAAGGCGGGUUGCUGGGCCGACACGUGACGCUGAUGCGCGGAAAGCUAGGGGAGCGAACGGG